GUUCCUCGGGAGCGAUCCAUGAAAUUAGAAUGAUACAAGAGAAAAUUAGCAUGACACAUGUGAGCAAAGAUGAGAUGCAUCAAAUGAGAAAUAGACUAUAUAUUU